rnacentral:rRNA from 1 species
AACGAACGCUGGCGGCAUGCCUAACACAUGCAAGUCGAACGAGAUCCUUCGGGGUCUAGUGGCGCACGGGUGCGUAACGCGUGGGAACCUGCCUUGAGGUUCGGAAUAACUCAGAGAAAUUUGAGCUAAUACCGGAUAAUGUCUUCGGACCAAAGAUUUAUCGCCUUUAGAUGGGCCCGCGUUGGAUUAGCUUGUUGGUGGGGUAAAGGCCUACCAAGGCGACGAUCCAUAGCUGGUCUUAGAGGAUGAUCAGCCACACUGGGACUGAGACACGGCCCAGACUCCUACGGGAGGCAGCAGUGGGGAAUAUUGGACAAUGGGCGAAAGCCUGAUCCAGCAAUGCCGCGUGAGUGAUGAAGGCCCUAGGGUUGUAAAGCUCUUUUACCAGGGAUGAUAAUGACAGUACCUGGAGAAUAAGCUCCGGCUAACUCCGUG